GUUGUUGGUUAGGUGGGUUUAUCAAACGCAAUUCAAAACUUGAUAACAUAAAGAUUAUUAUGGCCAAGCUUGGUUGUAGCUUUUUAUUCUGUAAAAGUUCACGGACGACGGACAUGUGCCAAAUGAUGGAAAUGGCUAGAAAUGGUUUGUGGGAAAGAAAGAUGAACUAAAAUGAGGUUCGAUAGAUAGUGUAUUGUCGGCCUUUCAGCACAAAUGUAAGUGAUAUUAGAAAACAUGUCGCACCAAUGUAACCCUCAACCCUACUCUUUGUAGGCGAGCUCGAGUUUCUUUACUUUCUUAAAAAGUUGAGACUGUGACAGGUUAUUUACAAUAUUUUCUAUCUUCAAAUUUUUUUUUUAAAUUGUGUGUAUUAACAAGGAUAUGUAUAGUUACU
rnacentral:lncRNA from 1 species